CCUACGGGAAGCAGCAGUGGGGAAUUUUGGACAAUGGGCGAAAGCCUGAUCCAGCCAUUCCGCGUGAGUGAAGAAGGCCUUCGGGUUGUAAAGCUCUUUCGGCAGGAACGAAACGGUMUUUUCUAAUACAAGCGGUUAAUGACGGUACCUGAAGAAGAAGCACCGGCUAACUACGUGCCAGCAGCCGCGGUAAUACGAAGGGUGCGAGCGUUAAUCGGAAUUACUGGGCGUAAAGCGUGCGCAGGCGGCUUUAUAAGACAGAUGUGAAAUCCCCGGGCUCAACCUGGGAAAUGCCUUUGUGACUGUAGGGCUAGAGUGCGGCAGAGGGGGGUAGAAUUCCACGUGUAGCAGUGAAAUGCGUAGAGAUGUGGAGGAAUACCGAUGGCGAAGGCAGCCCCCUGGGUCGACACUGACGCUCAUGCACGAAAGCGUGGGGAGCAAACAGGAUUAGAUACCCUGGUAGUCCACGCCCUAAACGAUGCGAACUAGGUGUUGGGGAAGGAGACCUCCUCAGUACCGCAGCUAACGCGUGAAGUC
rnacentral:rRNA from 1 species